rnacentral:rRNA from 1 species
UACGUAGGGUGCGAGCGUUAAUCGGAAUUACUGGGCGUAAAGCGUGCGCAGGCGGUGAUGUAAGACAGGUGUGAAAUCCCCGGGCUCAACCUGGGAAUUGCAUUUGUGACUGCACGGCUAGAGUGUGUCAGAGGGGGGUAGAAUUCCACGUGUAGCAGUGAAAUGCGUAGAGAUGUGGAGGAAUACCGAUGGCGAAGGCAGCCCCCUGGGAUAACACUGACGCUCAUGCACGAAAGCGUGGGGAGCAAACAGG